AGAUGGUCAUAACGAAAGAAAUGAACUUGUUAGUUAAGCAAACUUUAUGUUGCUUUUGCAUUUUUAUAUGAUGAACUAAAACUGCCUAGCAGCUCUUCCUUCUGUUUUAUUCCAUGCCUUGUCCAUCUGUUGUCCUGUUCCACCCCUCCUCCACAUAACACAAAGCCUUGGGCUCAGUCAGCCCAGGAAGAGGCUCUGGGGAUGAUUCAUGGGUUUGGGGAGAAGGGAGACACUGAUAGAUACAAUCUCUAAUUCAUUAACUGCAGGAAAACCAGAAAAUAUGUAUUCAAUAUGGCAGAGGUCUGAGAAAAGAGGAAAAGACAGUCUCUGAGUAACUAAAUGAGGCCUUUGAGAACUGGAUUAUGUUUCACUAUGCCUCAGAGUUCCUCUCUGAUGUUAGGUAAGUCACUCAGACCAAAUGUUUUUACAGUGCUAAUAAAUUGAUAUUAAUGCUCAUUUUCUCAGCUCCUCACUUCGUACCAAAGAGCCUUAUCUGCAGAAAUGUGAAGUACUGCAGACAUCCUAAAGCCGGUGUGAACUGGACUAAGAACACGCAGAGCUGUGUAAUGAAAAUUGGCCACUUGGAAUUAGUGGUUACCUUUGACAUUAAUCUUAAUUAAAUACUUCAUUAUAAUGUAUCUGCAGAACGAGGACAAAUUAAAGUUGCAUAGGCAAUUCUGGAUCCUGGCAUUUCUUAAGCCUUUGAUUUUUCAAUUUUAGUGAUGUUAAUAUGGCUUUGUGUACCUAUUGGUCAUUUAUUAGGAUUCAGUUAUUUACUUUUUUUUUUUUAUUAGCUUACUAGCUUUGAUGUAGUUGAAAUAUUUGCCUAACACUUUAAAUCUGUUAUAUCUCAGAAGCAUAAUCAUCAUGAAUGAAGUCAGUGAAAGUUCCAGGAUUAUUAUUUUUUUUUUACCCUGAAGAUUGUGAAUCUCUUGUAUUAAUCCAAUAAAUCACAAAUGGACACAGACAUUAUGACUACUAAGAUAAAUAAUGACUUACAUUGCAGCUUGUUACUGGCUCAAACUAUGGAACUGACUUCACCUAUCUUUGGAAGAAAAAUAGUGGAAAUGUAUGGGGAAAGAAGUAAACCAAAAAGAUUUAUGCAAACUGCAACAACUUGUCAGUCUGUUAGACUGCUGUUUCAGAGUAGAUAUUUAAUGAAGAUUAAACUGAUGGAAUAGGGGUUCUCUUUGUUUUUUAUAAUGGUUUCACAUACAUUUCCACAAGUGAUGAUGAAUUGUGGAUGGGAAUGAAAUUUACUAAAUGACUCAUCAGAAUCUGGGCUGAUGUGAGACAUUCCUUUUGUGACUCCUGUUUGCAAGCAUAUUCUGAGGAUGCUAACAAAAUACACGAACAAGCCAAGACCAAAAUCUCUGUUGUUUCAAGAUGACUGUAAAGAUUCUGUAAGUGAAAGCACCAGAACAAUCUGGGACGGCUACUAAAUUCUCUAUAUUUUCCUGUAGCUGCUAGGUCUAGUUUUCUCUCCUGGCUUAAGCAUGUUCAUGAAUUUCCUGGCCUUCUCAGCUGAAUAUUUACAGAAGCAUAACUUUUCAUCUAAGUUUUUGUGCAGGUUAUACGUUCAGUAGUUUUAGUUUAAGUACAUCAUUCACUAUUCUUUUAUAUUGGGAACAGUAACAAAAUUAGAAAGGCAAAGGAGUUUCCAGGGGUUUGACCUUAUGAGAGCUAUGCUCACUGGUAUAUUUUGGCCUGAUUUUCUCCAGGGAUUAUAGGGAUAUAUUUGCUGCAUGAGGUUUUGCAGUCCCUACUGUUCAAGGAAUCUCUUUAACCUCUCUAGCCUGUGACUGCUGGACUCCACCACCUCUUUGAGAGGUUAGAUAGUCUAAUUUGAUAAAAAUAUCUAAGGUCUUCUGCCAAACUACAAUUUUGAGAGUAUUCUGAAAAGAGACCCAGAUGAAACUUUACAAAUUCCAGUGAGCAUUAGGUCUUUGACUAAUUCCAUGAAACAAUUUAUUUACAUUUAGCCAACACAUUUAUCAGAACUACAUAAAUUAUCAUAUAAAGUCAGCUUAGUUGAAACUGUGAUGUUAAUGUGUUAUCAUUAGUCACUCACUGUUGGUUACAGUCAUGAGUAAGGCUGAAGAUUUACAAUUUUUAUUGUGUCAUAGCAUAUGGAAAUCAAGUGUCUGACACUUUGAAUUGUGCCAAUAAAAGUGUUUUGUUUGUCUUCA
ensembl:lncRNA